GCUUGCUUGCUAUUGUGCUCAUUCGCACACGCUUGUGAGGGUAGCUCCCUACAAGCCGGCACUCCGGAGUUAGCCUACGCGACAGUUGCUCGCCCGUGCGGGAUUGGGUGCCGAAGUGGUUUGCCGUGGGGAGUGUUUACUACCACGGGGCCAUUAGGCGCGGCGCAAGCUGGACUACCUUGAGUAGAUCCCUGUGAAUGAAAGGAAAACUCUUUUGAGGUGAAAGUACUAAAUGACAAAGGACGGUAAUGAAUGCUUACUAGUUAAAGUGUACAGUAGUUGUAAUACACUGAACUUUUGCAAACUGCGGAGUUCGAGUGUGUGGAAUGGUGUGUGGAUCACUCCUACAUGUUCUAAAAGGUUAGAACAAGUGUUUGGAUAAGUUAGAGGAUGAUUGGAAUGUUAAAAGUGAGAAAUUGCAUCAACUGGCGAAAAUCAGCCUUUUUCUGCUUGCUGUACCGGUACAGCCCUUACCUUAUACCGGUACAAGCUGGCAGAUUCGGGGCAGCAAGGUUAGUUUGGUAAUUUCACAUCUUGUUCUCAGCUAUUUGAUCCCAGCACGACUCCUGGAGCUUGCUGGAGUGUGCUAGAGCUCAGAGGAGGGUUCUCCACCAUUUCUCUCUUUCUCUCUCUAGGGUUUUUCUCUCUCAACAUCGAAUUCGCCGAUUUCGCUCGUUUUCAUCGCAACGUUGGUUCUUCGUUGUUCGCAAGUGUUGCAGAGCCUACGUGGACGUGUGAGGGAGUGUUUUGGAGAGCUUUUCGCAGCUCUGGACCAGUGGGUUGCUGGUUGGAAGCUUGAAAGGUAAACGACUUGAUGAUUUUCCGUUAUCGGCACUCUAGUCGUCGAUUUGAGUAUUUCAGAUUUUUGCUCUUGGCUGUGCUAAACUGAGAAUUCAGCUAUUAUAAAUGAGAUAAUUAGCUGUGAAUUAACCUUCUUAGACCUGGGAUAAGCUACCUGGAAGCUUAAUUGGAAUAUUUAGUCCUUUAUGAAGCUAAAAUCGGAACUUAAGGCACUAAGUUGUGCGAAUUGAUGCAAAUUGGGAUUUUUUUCUUCGCGGCAGGUCUUCGAGCCUCGUUGAGCUGAACUUGUACUCUUUGAAGCUGGUUUGGGAGGUAUUCUAACCUGAGGUAAGCAGGGAAUUUUAGUUAGGAACUGAAUUCGCAAGAUUUCGCCUAUUAUAGCUUAUAAUCGACUAUAUUGAUGCCGUCUCGAAAUUGUUCGCAGCGAGAGGGUGUUUGACCCUUGGACCGCCUUCGUCUGGUCUUGGAGGACCUUCUGGAAGCUUAACGUGAGGUAUUGAACUAAGCCCAACAGGGAUUUAAGCUUUUCCAAUGUACAAAGUGUAAUUGCGCCGAAAUUGGCCUUUUCGAUCGUAAUUUUGAUACGAUAUGUAUACUUCGUGUUCAGCAGGAUUGCGACCUAGUGGAGUUGAACUUUGGAACUUCUUGGACUGUUUUGGAGCCUAGUACUAGGUGGGUCGGACCUAACCAGAGCAAGUGGAGCUCCCCUAUGUUCUAUAUGUGCUAUAGAAUUAGUGUUGUUGUGCGCUUUAGUGUUUGAUAUAGGACUUGAGAAGUAAAUUGACUUGAAAUCUCUAUAAAGUAGAGAACACAUAUACAUGAACGUAUUUAUCUUUAUAUUCCAUUCAGUUGAAUGACUUAUGAACAAGUGUAGAAUACACUUAUGAAAUGUAGAGAACAAUGACAUUCUCUUUUACUCGCUUGAUUACAUGUAGAAAACUAUGACAUGCUUGUUCCUAUGUUAAUAGUGCCAUGAUAGUGAAAGAUCCUAAUGCCAUAUGUAAAUUAGCAUUACUCCUGUAUGCUUACUAAACUAGUGGAUUCUAGUUGUUGUGAAUAUUUGUUAUACUGAAAUGUCGAUCAAAGGAUCGAGAGCGAGAACAUUGCAAAUGAAAACAUGAUAAUUGAGACAUGUUGGACUGUGAACUUUGCUUGCUUGCCAUCGUUCUCAUUCGCACACGCUUGUGAGGGUAGCUCCCUACAAGCCGGCACUCCGGAGUUGGCCUAUGCGACAGUUGCUCGCCCGUGCGGGAUUGGGUGCCGAAGUGGAUUGCCGUGGGGAGUGUAUACUACCACGGGGCCAUUAGGCGCGGCGCAAGCUGGACUACCUUGGGUAGGUCCCUGUGAAUGAAAGGAAAGUACUAAAUGAAAAAGGACAGUAAUGAAUGUUUAUUACUUAAAGUGUACAGUAGUCACUUUUAUAUUCGUGCUUAUACUCAUGUCUAUGUUCAUGAUUACAGAAGUUGCUAUAUCUCUUUUAUGCAAACGGUUCAUUACUGUAGAAAGCUAUUACAUGUUGAUUACAUGCUUAUUACUUAUUAGCAUCAUGCUUAUAAAUCAUGC
rnacentral:lncRNA from 1 species